rnacentral:rRNA from 1 species
AUACAGUGCAGGACAGAAAACAGGGCAAUUGGAUUUAAGGUGACAACUAAGGGACCGAGUGCCUAGGACGGGUGAAUAAAAUGGGAUUUGGAGGGACACGGGCUGGGCAUGGGCGUACUGAAACCCACUAGGUUAUGGAUACACAGAACAGAUCCGGUAAUAGGUACUACUCAUCUAAGUAAGCCGAUUGACCGGAGACUCGACAGCGGAUAGGCCUGUAAUGACAACUUGAAGCCAUACUAGGGCCAAUCGGAUGUAUUCCGACAUAGGUGGUAAAUAAAAGAUAUAGGUAUGAGUGAUCUAAGAGACAACGACCUACAAACAAGGCUUUCCGAGCUAGGAACGAUCUACGCCACGCAGAAAACUGUAACAUAGCUCUAAAAGAUUGACACUUCGAGAUAAUAGAUACCUGAGUGGUUGAUAACGGGACGUCACGAGUUCAACUGUCAUGCUUUCUCUGAACUGUGCUCCAUGGGGCGUCUGGGACUGCUGUGUAUGAUGGGACAAAAUGGGAGAUUUGGAUUGCUAUAUGAACUAAGAGGAAAUGUCUAAAUGACUUUGAAAGAACCUGGUUGGCAUGAUGACAGGAAAUMUGMACCCUGYUGMUGAAGCAAACUGAGUGGAAUGMUGACAGGAAAUCAUYUGUUUAAGAUGCAUGGCAGGAAACAAUCUGUUUAAUGUGGAGCAGAUAGGACGUCGUUUCGAACAKAGYUGAAUUAGACUGACCGGAAAUGCAGCCCUCAGCGCUCCUUAGGAUUGCGUCCCUCAACGUCCGAGGAUUAGGACCGCCUCCUUCCGCCCCAAAUGGAAAGAGAUCAAAGGACUGAUAGAUAGAGACAAAAUCCAAAUCCUGUGCCUGCAAGAGACCAAACUUGCAGAAAGCAGGUUGACGGACGGGAUGCUCCCCCCAGUGCAGGCCCCUUUCCAAGCCUGCACCGGCCGUAGGUACGUCAGCAGGAGUCGCCAUUCUUUGUACUAAGUACUUCAAAGGCCAGGUGCUCGACUUCUUUGUAGAUACGGCUGGACGCUGGGCUUGGAUAUACAUUGAAAUGCUGCGAGAAAGAGCGCUAAUUGCCACUGUGUACGGACCAACAGACCUUCAGGACAAACGCUCCUUCUGGAAAGGACUGGCACCUAACCUCCCGGUUGCGAUGGUCCAAACGGAUGUUGACGCAAUGUGAUUUCUGCCCAGUGUUGUGAAUGUCAAAGUGAAGAGAUUCAACCAAGCGCGGGUAAACGGCGGGAGUAACUAUGACUCUCUUAAGGUAGCCAAAUGCCUCGUCGUCUAAUUAGUGACGCGCAUAAAUGGAUUAACGAGAUUCCCACUGUGCCUAUCUACCAUCCUGUAAAACCACAGCCAAGGGAAAGGGCUUGGAAGAAUCGACGAGGAAAGAAGACCCUGUUGAGCUUGACUCUAGUUCGACUCUGUGAAAUGACUUGAGAGGUGUAGAAUAAGUGGGAGCCUUAUGGCGCAAGUGAAAUACCAUUACUUUUAACGUUAUUUUACUUAUUUCGUGAGGUGGAGCCGAGGCUUUGCCCCUGCUUCUCGAUCCAAGGUGCAGGCCCUCGUGGCCUGUCCGAUCCAAGUGAAAGACAUUGUCAGGUGGGGAGUUUGGCUGGGGAAGCACAUUUGUUAGAAGAUAACGUUGGUGUCCUAACAUGAGCUCAACGAGAACAGAAAUCUCGUGUGGAGCACAAGGGCAAAAGCUCAUUUGAUUUUGAUUUCCAGUACGAAUGUCUCUGUGGCAACCGUGGUCUAAGUUCGGGUGGGCCCUGAUGUGUUGCAUGCGACUACGGAGCGUCGGUCAUAGUCGAUACUCUCCCAUCUCCCAGGGUACGUAAGGAUGUGCGCUGUCUCUGAGGGUCUCAGCUGGUUCAAUAAGGGGAUGUGGGGAGGGGGUGGAACAUACUAUACCAUUGUGGGCAGGGUCGUCUGCGCAGGU